rnacentral:rRNA from 1 species
CGAACGCUGGCGGCGUGGAUUAGGCAUGCAAGUCGAACGAUCCCUCAUUCUGUGGGGGAUAGUGGCAAACGGGUGAGUAACGCGUGAGUGAUUUACCUUAAGGUUGGGAAUAACUCGCCGAAAGGCGAGCUAAUACCGAAUAAGACCACGAUUUCCAAGAAAUAGUGGUUAAAGAUGGGGAUCCUGAAAAUGGACCUGUCACCUUUAGAUGAGCUCGCGUCCUAUCAGCUUGUUGGUGGGGUAAAAGCCUACCAAGGCAAUGACGGGUAGCUGGUCUGAGAGGAUGGUCAGCCACACUGGGACUGAGACACUGCCCAGACUCCUACGGGAGGCUGCAGUCGAGAAUCUUUUGCAAUGCCCGCAAGGGUGACAAUGCGACGCCGCGUGAGUGACGAAGGCCUUCGGGUUGUAAAGCUCUGUCAGCUGGAAUGAAUGUAGGAGGGUUAAUAACCUUUCUGCUUGACGGUACCAGCAGAGGAAGCCUCGGCUAACUCC